rnacentral:tRNA from 1 species
CUGGGUGUAACUCAGUGGUAGAGUCCUUGCCUAACAUGCUUGAGUCCCUAGGUUCAAAUCCCAGGAUUGGGG